rnacentral:rRNA from 1 species
GCGGCCGCACGGGUGAGUAACACGUAUCCAACCUGCCCUUUACUCGGGGAUAGCCUUUCGAAAGAAAGAUUAAUACCCGAUAGCAUAAUGAUUCCGCAUGGUUUCAUUAUUAAAGGAUUCCGGUAAAGGAUGGGGAUGCGUUCCAUUAGGUUGUUGGUGAGGUAACGGCUCACCAAGCCUUCGAUGGAUAGGGGUUCUGAGAGGAAGGUCCCCCACAUUGGAACUGAGACACGGUCCAA